GACGAACGCUGGCGACGUGCUUAACACAUGCAAGUCGAACGGAAAGGCCCUGCUUUUGUGGGGUGCUCGAGUGGCGAACGGGUGAGUAACACGUGAGUAACCUGCCCUUGACUUUGGGAUAACUUCAGGAAACUGGGGCUAAUACCGGAUAGGAGCUCCUGCUGCAUGGUGGGGGUUGGAAAGUUUCGGCGGUUGGGGAUGGACUCGCGGCUUAUCAGCUUGUUGGUGGGGUAGUGGCUUACCAAGGCUUUGACGGGUAGCCGGCCUGAGAGGGUGACCGGCCACAUUGGGACUGAGAUACGGCCCAGACUCCUACGGGAGGCAGCAGUGGGGAAUAUUGCACAAUGGGCGGAAGCCUGAUGCAGCAACGCCGCGUGCGGGAUGACGGCCUUCGGGUUAUAAACCGCUUUCGCCUGUGACGAAGCGUGAGUGACGGUAAUGGGUAAAGAAGCACCGGCUAACUACGUG
rnacentral:rRNA from 1 species